rnacentral:rRNA from 3 species
AGGCUUAACACAUGCAAGUCGAACGGGCCCUUCGGGUCAGUGGCAGACGGGUGAGUAACGCGUGGGAACGUGCCCUUCAGUUCGGAAUAACCCAGGGAAACUUGGGCUAAUACCGGAUACGUCCGAAAGGAGAAAGAUUGAUCGCUGAAGGAUCGGCCCGCGUCUGAUUAGCUAGUUGGUGAGGUAAUGGCUCACCAAGGCGACGAUCAGUAGCUGGUCUGAGAGGAUGAUCAGCCACAUUGGGACUGAGACACGGCCCAA